rnacentral:lncRNA from 1 species
UUUGUUUCGCAUUCCGCCAAAACCAUUACGAGGUUCCCCUGAUCUUGCUUCCCACGUACACAGGAGAAACGAACCGUAGCGACCCCGAAGAUUCAAAUGCUGUGUCUGGCUGCGGUCAGCGGCUCAGGAAAGACGGAGCUGAGAAAGCACGAGACAGAGUCUGCCGGCGUCGGAAAUCAUCACCGAGGUGGGCGCAGUCCACAUACAGAAUCAACCCCCCAGGAUGGACGAAAAAGUGCGAGCCUCAAUCCCAUCUGACUGUAUUUAGAUCUGACAUAUGCAGCAAUAAUCGUUUGCAAACUGAGAAUAUGAUGUGCAUUGUUAAGUGAUUUGACUUUUGCCUUGCUGGCAAAAACAAAAGAAAUUCCAGUGCUAGUAAUUUUGCUAUUCUAGUUUGCUGACGGCCGAAGAAAUUGAAUCAGCUGAGAUAGUGGAUGAGGCCGAAGAAACUGAAUCAGCUGAGGUAGUGGAUGUGGCCAAAGAAAUUGAACCACCGCGGUCUCCGUGGGCGGAUUUGGAACCUGCUGAUGGUUGGGAGCCGGAGCUGUCUAGCCUGCUUGGUUGCCCUGGUGCACAUGGUACCCGCUGACUUGCUGCUGAGCACGGGCUAUCUGCUGAGGGCUCAUCCUCCUCAGGUAUGAGCGCUGAAAGUCGAAGAAGCGACACAGCCGAGCCCGCGGAAAAAUGCAGACCUAUAGGCAGAAACUCAAUAACACGCCUGAAGCCUGCAAGAUGCAAGAACUGUGGUGUUGAAGGUCACCGCCGCAACAGCUGCACUAGGCCUCGACUCUGGGUGUUAUUGCAUCUUGAAUUGAAUUGCAUUUACAGUAUGGUUCAGUUUGAGGAUUUUCUAGUGCGUGCUGCCCGCUUGUUCAUCUACGUUGUACAAUGGCUUUGUGUUCACCAGUUGUUGCGUUCAUGAGUUAUGUUUGUGAACAGUUUGCUGUGUUUUCGCAUGUAGUCGACUAGUCGAGGACUGCCUAGUGUAUGAUGCCUGUCAAGUCUGUGUGUUCCUGAUUGUAAAAACUCCUCCUAGCUGUGUCCUGGGUCACUCGAUGACGAGAGUUUUCGCUGUAUGUGUCAUCAGAUGACUGUCUGUUCAAACGGAAUCCGUAUUCUUUUCCCGCAUGGGCUGAUUCGAGCGUUCCGGCGUCGGCGUGUCCAAAUGCAGUUUGCCAGUUUGCCCUCUCGAGCCCGCGUCUGCUCCUGAUCAGGCAAAUAAGGUGAGUUGAGAAUAUCAGCUCGUUUUUCUCUGUAUUUCCCACAAUGGUUUCAUCUGCUCAACACCCCCCUAUUUCUGUUGAUUCUUAGAACUCAGCUGCGGGCUCGGACAGGACCGGCGCGAUGUCAGCGUCAGAUGCCG